rnacentral:lncRNA from 1 species
GACUUUUCAUAGCUUAUAAUAGACGUGGCCACUCAUCGAACUCUCAAAUUCUUUAUUUUUCUUCUUCAUCUAGAACUAGAACUAGAAUUUUCCCUCACUUCAGUUCCCCAUCUCUAGCAUCUUCGUUGUCUUCUUUGUUGGGUCUCACAAUGUUCAUGUUAGUAUUUACUCUCUUUUUAAUUUGUUUUUCAUUUUUUGUUGCUUGUUGCUUGUUGCAGUGGAGUUUUGCUUCUUUUUCCCCCUUUAUUUGUUAUGCGUAUUUUAUAUUUCUUUUAGUUUUCUCUUCUUUUGUUUUCCUUCAUCAUUACCUAGUUGGUGUUGUUGCUUUCUUUCCAUUGUCGCUUUUCUUAACUUUUUUGUAUUAGGAAAAAUUGCAUUUAUAUAUGCAAGUGACAUAUUGAGACAUGUGGACUGAUCAAAUAGUCAAAGAAUUAUAAUUAGUCAAGCGGCACGGGUAGCAGUAGAAACGAGCAAAGGCAAAUAAAGAGGCGGGGGAGGACAUUUGAAGGAUUCAGCGCCCGUACCUAUUUAAAUCAUUUAUCAAAAGGAAUGGAUCUGACCAUAAUAAAGAGCGCAGAUACGGAAUUCGACAGGCAUUAAAUACUGGAUACGUUAGAGAAUUUGUAUUGAUUACAACGAUUGUGUAACGUAGCAUUGAAUGUCUUUAAUUAUUCAUAAUAGCCUCGUUAUGAUUUGGAAGAAAGGCAUAUCUUCAAGAUACCUAUAAAAGGGAGGAAUCUGGUCACUUGUAAAAGCAAGAAACAAUCGGAAUAUACUUUGAUUCACUUGUUUUUCUCCUGA